UACAGAGGUGGCAAGCGUUGUUCGGAAUUACUGGGCGUAAAGAGCGCGCAGGCGGUCGUUCAAGUCGCGUGUGAAAGCCCCCGGCUCAACUGGGGAGGGUCACGCGAUACUGAUCGACUCGAAGGCAGGAGAGGGUAGUGGAAUUCCCGGUGUAGUGGUGAAAUGCGUAGAUAUCGGGAGGAACACCAGUGGCGAAGGCGACUACCUGGCCUGUUCUUGACGCUGAGGCGCGAAAAGCUAGGGGAGCAAACGGG
rnacentral:rRNA from 1 species